rnacentral:rRNA from 1 species
AAUGGCAUCACGAGGGCUUAACUGUCUCCUUUCUCCUGUCAAUGAAAUUGAUCUCCCCGUGCAGAAGCGGGGAUAAUAACAUAAGACGAGAAGACCCUAUGGAGCUUUAGGCUCCAGAACAGACUAUGUAAAACACCCUCAUACAAGAGACAAAACCUAUUAGACCCUGUUCUAAAUGCCUUUGGUUGGGGCGACCGCGGGGAAACACACAACCCCCAUGUGGACUAGGAGCACAACCCUCCCACAACCCAGAGUUACAACUCUAAGUAACAGAAUAUCUGACCAACUAAUGAUCCGGCACAGCCGAUCAACGAACCGAGUUACCCUAGGGAUAACAGCGCAAUCCCCUUUUAGAGUCCAUAUCGACAAGGGGGUUUACGACCUCGAUGUUGGAUCAGGACAUCCUAUUGGUGCAGCCGCUAUUAAGGGUUCGUUUG